rnacentral:misc_RNA from 1 species
ACAAACUUGGUCAUUUAGAGGAAGUAAAAGUCGUAACAAGGUUUCCGUAGGUGAACCUGCGGAAGGAUCAUUACCGAGUUGAGGGUCUUAAACCAUCUGGUUGGCCCGAACCUCCCAACCCUGUGUCUACUUUACCAAUUGUUGCUUCGGCGGGCCGGAACUUGACCAACUGGUCGACGACCGCCGGAGGGUACCUUUAUCGGCCCUCUGGUCAGCGCUCGUCGACAGCCAAACUUUUUAAAAUCUUUAACUAAAUGUGUCUUAAUCUAAGUACUAUUUGUUAAAUUAAAGCAAAACUUUCAACAACGGAUCUCUUGGUUCUGGCAUCGAUGAAGAACGCAGC